UGUAUAUUUCUGAAGGUGAUGCGUACACUGUGCAGCUACUUUAGGUUACAAACAGCAAUAUUGUUUAUAUGUGUUGACAGUGUUGCCCUUAUAUUGUUCAUUGUCUGAUAGUUGCAAUAUGUAUUGCAAUGUAUCAGUAUCUUUGCAUUAAUUAAUUAAAUAUGGCAAAAUUAUGGUCUGUAUUAAAUGAGAAGGGCGUGUCUCCUAAAAUGUGGAACUGUGUCUGAUCCAUCUAUGAUUGUGUCAAAUCUUGCGUGAAACCAAAUA